GCUGCCUCGAUCACAGCUUUAUUCUUCUCUGAGAGCUUUUUGAGCUCCUUUAUUCUCGCUGCCUAUGCUUUUUGGAUGUCUAGCAGUCGAGAAUUUUUCUCGACUGCUCCUUUUAAGGCUGCUUUAGAAUCCUCAGCUCUUCUAAUGAUAGCAUCGGCCCUCAUAGAGGCUUCUCCAGCCUCCCUCUCAGCCUUGUCUCUAGUCACCU
rnacentral:lncRNA from 1 species